UACGGAGGGUGCAAGCGUUGUCCGGAAUCACUGGGCGUAAAGGGCGCGUAGGCGGCUCAUGAAGGCUGUGGUGAAAGUCCGGGGCUCAACCUCGGAUCGGCCGUGGCGACUCGUGGGCUGGAGCACUGUAGAGGCGGGUGGAAUUCCGGGUGUAGUGGUGGAAUGCGUAGAGAUCCGGAAGAACACCGGUGGCGAAGGCGGCCUGCUGGGCUAUGGCUGACACUGAGGCGCGACAGCGCGGGGAGCAAACAGG
rnacentral:rRNA from 1 species